AGUGAACGCUGGCGGCGUGCUUAACACAUGCAGGUCGAACGAGAACGGAAUAUAGCUUGCUAUAUUUGUCAGCUAAGUGGCGCACGGGUGAGUAAUGUAUAGAUAACCUGCCCUUAAGAAAGGAAUAACAGUUGGAAACGACUGCUAAUGCCCUAUAUGCCUUUAAUACAUAAGUAUGCAAGGGAAACGCUUUAGUGCUUAAGGAUGGGUCUGUAUGGUAUCAGCUUGUUGGUGAGGUAAUGCUCACCAAGGCUAUGACGCCUAACUGGUUUGAGAGGAUGAUCAGUCACACUGGAAAUGAGAAACGGUCCAGACACCUACGGGAGGCAGCAGUGGGGAAUAUUGCACAAUGGACGAAAGUCUGAUGCAGCAACGCCGCGUGGAGGAUGACACAUUUCGGUGCGUAAACUCCUUUUAUAUAGGAAGAUAAUGACGGUACUAUAUGAAUAAGCACCGGCUAACUCCGUGCCAGCCGCCGCUGUAA
rnacentral:rRNA from 1 species